UGGGGGAGAGGCAGGGAACUGCUGGCUGCCGCCAUCUUUGGUCCAGGCACCUAGAAGGGAAGACCAGGAGCAAGUAGCCUCGGGCGCCAUCUUUGUUCAUCCCCGGGCAUCAACCGGCGCGUUACAACGGGGCGGGCGCACCGAGAUAUAGACAGACUUACUGAGAGUUGAGAUGACACUUGAAGAAUUAAAGCAGGCUCCCAAAUACAGACUAACACGGCUGCUACUCUGAAACCUGUAGUGAUGAAGAGAAUGUGAUGAAGCCCCUUCGGUAACUUUUAGUCUAGUUAGUAAAACAAGAGCCCUUGAAUAGAACUAUGUUUACACUGCAUUUUUAGGAUAGCAUCCUUUCUUAAGAUAGCAAUCUUUUCCCUAGAUAGUGGCAGAUCAUGUAAAGUCUUAGGCUAUGUCUACACUACGGCUUAUGUUGGCAUAAUUUAUGUCGCUCAAUGGUGUGAAUAAAUCACCUCCAUGAGCGACGUAAGUUACACCAACUCCCGCUGACACAGCUAUCACUGCUCGCUAAGGUUGUUUUAUUAUGCCAACAGGAGCGCUGUAUGUGUAGACAUGCCGUUAUUGUUGAUCCUGGGUUGUUGGUGGUCUCAGGAUGCUAGAUAAAUGAAUCUCAAUUAUGGCACAAACUGAUGAACUGUGCCCCUGGUUCUCUAACCUUGACAUAACAUUUAUACUCACAUCUAUAAAAUUUUAAAUGAUCACUGUAAAAUUAUAACAUCCUAAGGCAGAAAAGGCAGUUUGAGCAAAAAGAGAAGGCAUUUUUUUUCAGGUCAGAUUGGCAAUGACUUUGGGUUUAUUUGCCUUCCUCUGCAGCAUAUGGGUGAGAGUCAGUUGCCCAGAUUAUCUGGGUAUAUCUCACUUAAUAAUUUCCCUGCCAUUGUGGGGGCCUUGAGCACUGGUGCACCUCGGUCCCUCCCACUCUCUGCUUGUGGCACACAAUAGUCUAGUCUCCUGUGGGCUGUCGUACUUUGGUCUAAUUUUGG